rnacentral:rRNA from 1 species
UGGAAGUAAAAGUCGUAACAAGGUUUCCGUAGGUGAACCUGCGGAAGGAUCAUUACAGUAUUCUUUUGCCAGCGCUUAACUGCGCGGCGAAAAACCUUACACACAGUGUCUUUUUGAUACAGAACUCUUGCUUUGGUUUGGCCUAGAGAUAGGUUGGGCCAGAGGUUUAACAAAACACAAUUUAAUUAUUUUUACAGUUAGUCAAAUUUUGAAUUAAUCUUCAAAACUUUCAACAACGGAUCUCUUGGUUCUCGCAUCGAUGAAGAACGCAGCGAAAUGCGAUAAGUAAUAUGAAUUGCAGAUUUUCGUGAAUCAUCGAAUCUUUGAACGCACAUUGCGCCCUCUGGUAUUCCAGAGGGCAUGCCUGUUUGAGCGUCAUUUCUCUCUCAAACCCCCGGGUUUGGUAUUGAGUGAUACUCUUAGUCGGACUAGGCGUUUGCUUGAAAAGUAUUGGCAUGGGUAGUACUGGAUAGUGCUGUCGACCUCUCAAUGUAUUAGGUUUAUCCAACUCGUUGAAUGGUGUGGCGGCCAUUUUCUGUAUUGUUGGCCCGGCCUUACAACAGCGUAAAACAAGUUUUGAACCCUUCCA